GAUUAUGGCUCAGGAUGAACGCUAGCGGCAGGCUUAACACAUGCAAGUCGAGGGGCAGCGUCUGAGUAGCAAUACUCGUGGCGGCGACCGGCGAAAGGGUGAGUAACGCGUGAGCAACAUGCCCGAUAGUGGAGGAUAGUCGAUGGAAACGUCGUGUAAUACUCCGUAACAUACGGGACCGCAUGAUUCUGUAUUAAUAGAUUUAUUGCUAUCGGAUUGGCUCGCGUACCAUUAGCUAGUUGGCGGGGUAACGGCCCACCAAGGCGACGAUGGUUAGGGGUUCUGAGAGGAAGGUCCCCCACAUUGGAACUGAGACACGGUCCAGACUCCUACGGGAGGCAGCAGUGAGGAAUAUUGGACAAUGGCCGGAAGGCUGAUCCAGCCAUGCCGCGUGCCGGGAAGACGGCCCUAUGGGUUGUAAACCGCUUUUGUUGGGGAGCAAUAAGGUCCACGUGUGGAUUGAUGAGAGUACCCAGCGAAUAAGCAUCGGCUAACUCCGUGCCAGCCGCCGC
rnacentral:rRNA from 1 species